rnacentral:lncRNA from 10 species
CUCAAAGCUAGCAACAGGCAGCGCUGGGUUCUAGUCCCAGAUCCACUACUGACAAGCUGAAUGUCUCUGGGCAAGCACUUCCCGUCUCUGGGUCUCAGUUUCCCCUCUCCACCCAUAUCCUCUGACUGCAGAGGCUUCCUGAGAUCUGUGGGCCUGAGAAUAGGGGAGCCCGUAGAGCAGCCCCAUUGGUGUCGACUGGCGAGAUCCUUCCUCCCCGCGAUGUUGCCUGUCACUGUACAGAACUGACUAUGGCAGGCUUGUUCGGAGCACGGGAGGGUAGCUCUUUCUGGCAUCACUCCUGCCUUUUGAACAGCAAGUUCUAAACUGUGACUGCCUGG